rnacentral:lncRNA from 1 species
CUCUCUCUUUGCCUACUGCCAUCCAGGAAGACGUGACUUGCUUCUUCUUGCCUUCCACUAUGAUUGUGGGAAGGCCUCCCCAGUCAUGUGGAACUGUAAGUCCAUUAAACCUCUUUUUCUUCCCAGUCUCAGGUAUGUCUUUAUCAGCAGCAUGAAAAUGGACUAAUACAGUAAAUUGGUACCAGUAGAGGGGGGUGCUGCUGGAAAGAUACCUGAAAAUGUGGAAGCAACUUUGGAACUGGGUAACAGGCAGAGAUUGGAACAGUUUGGAGGGUUCAGAAGAAGACAGGAAUAUGUGGAAAAGUUUGGAACUUCCUAGAGGCUUGUUGAAUGGCUUUGCUCAAAAUGCUGAUAGUGAUAUGGACAAUAAAGUCCAGACUGAGGUGGUUUCAGAUGGAAAUGAGGAACUUGUUGGAAACUGGAGCAAAGGUGACUCUCAUUAUGUUUUAGCAAAGAGACUGGUGGCAUUUUGCCCCUGCUCUAGAGACUUGUGGAACUUUGAACUUGAGAGAGAUGAUUUAGGGAAUCUGGUGGAAGAAAUUUCUAAGCAGUAAAGCAUUCAAAAGGUGACUUGGGUGCUGUUAAAGGCAUUCAGGUUUAUAAGGGAAGCAGAGCAUAAAAGUUUGGAAAAUUUGCAGCCUGACAAUGUGAUAGAAAACAAAAUCCCAUUUUUCUGAGAAGAAAUUCAAGCUGGUUGCAGAAAUUUGCAUAAGUAAUGAGAAGUCGAAUGUUAAUCCUCAAGACAAUGGGGAAAAUGUCCUCAGGGCAUGUCAGAGUUCUUCACAGCAGCCCCUCCCAUCACAGGCCCAGAGGCCUAGGAGGAAAAAGUGGUUUUGUUGGCUGGGUCCAGGGUCCCCAUGCUGUGUGCAGCCUAGGGACUUGGUGCCCUGCAUCCCAGCUGCUUCAGCCAUGGCUGAAAGGGGCGAAUGUAGAACGUGGGUUGUGGCUUCAGAGGGUGCAAGCCUUGGCAGCUUCCACAUGGUAUUAAGCCUGCCAGUCCACAGAAGUCAGGAAUUAGAGUUUGGAAACCUCUGCCUAGAUUUCAAAGGAUGUAUGGAAAUGCCUGGAUGUCCAGGCAAAAGUUUGCAGCAGGGGCAGGGAUCUCAUGGAGACCCUCUGCUAGAGCAGUGCAGAAGGGAAAUCUGGGGUCAGAGCUCCCACACAGAGUCCCUGCUGGCGCACUGCCUAGUGGAGUGGGCACUGUGAGCAGAGGGCCACUAUCUUCCAGACCCCAGAAUGGUAGAUCCACUGACAGCUUGCACCAUGUGACUGGAAAAGCCACAGACUAUCAACGCCAGCCUGUGAAAGCAGCUGGGAGAGAGGCUGUACCCUGCAAAACCACAGGGGCGGAGCUACCCAAGACCAUGGGAACCCAUCUCUUGCAUCAGUGUGACCUGGAAAUGAGACACAGACUCAAAGGAGAUCAUUUUGGAGAAUUAAGAUUUGAGUGACCAGCUGGAUUUCAGGUUUGCAUGGGGCCUGUAGCCCCUUUGUUUGGGCCAAUUUCUCCCAGUUGGAAUAUCUGUAUUUAACCAAUACCUGUACCCUCAUUGUAUCUAGGAAGUAACUAAGUUGCUUUUGGUUCUACAGGCUCAUAGGUGGAAGGGACUUGCCUUGUCUUGAGUGAGACAUUGGACUGUCGACUCUUAAGUUAAUGCUGACAUGAGUUAAGACUUUGGGAGACUGUUGGGAAGGCAUGAUUGGUUUUGAAAUGUGAGGACAUGAGAUUUGGAGGGGACAGGGGUGGAAUUAUAUGGUUUGGCUGUGUCCUCACCCAAAUCUCAUCUUGAAUUCCCACAUGUUGUGGGAGUGACCCAGUGGGAGGUAAUUGAAUCAUGGGACUGGGUCUUUCCCGUGCUGUUCUUGUGAUAGUGAAUAAGUCUCAUGAGAUCUGACAGUUUUAAAAAUGGGAGUUUCCCCUGCACAAGCUCUCUCUUCUCUUUGCCUGCUGCCAUCCAUGUAAGAUGGGACUUGCUCUUCCUUGCCUUCCACCAUGAUUGUGAGUCCUGCCCAGCCAUGUGGAUCCAUGAAUCCAUCAAACCUCUUUUUCUUCCCAGUCUUGGGUAUGUCUUUAUCAGCAGCAUGAAAACUACUAUUAUUUACCUAUUUUUCAGACUCAAAGUCUAAAAUGUAAAGAUAUUCUUGAAAAUUUGCCAUCCAUUAUUGCAAGACUUUUAAUUUCUUUCCUGCCACUACUUAACUGUAGAAACUUGAGAAAAUUACAUGACAUUUCUAUAGGUCUCAGUCUCUCAACUGUGCCAUGAAAGAGUUGGCUUAGAUUACCUCUAGGCCUCCUUGAGAUUAAAGAUGGUUUUGCAUUAUUAAAAACAUUAUAUAAAUCAAAUGAUUUUUUUUUUUUUUGAAAUGAAGUCUCUCUCUUGUCGCCCAGUCUGGAAUGCAGUGGCACGAUCUUGGUUUAAUGCCAGCUCCAUUUCCUGGGUUCAAGCAAUUCUCCUGCCUCAGCCUCCCGAGUAGCUGGGAUUACAGGAGCCUGUGUUGUAAACUCUUUAUUUAAGUAGAAUUGCCCCCUCUAUUUUUAAAUCAAAUUGUCAUUUUUAAAAAAUCUAUGUGGUUUGCUUUAAACAUGAUAUACGUUUUCUUACAUAGAUAAAGGUAGAUUUCAGAUGUUGGGAAAAAUGUGUGUGGCAGACACUAUUAGCUGCUCUCCUUCUGUCUGUCCAUUUCCUCUCAAUCUCAUUAAUAGAAACUAAUUUAGUUCAGCAUGGCCAUGUGCCCAGCUGAAAAUUAUAGCUUCAUCAUCACACAUCAGAAAGAUGAGCAUGUGGCACAGUCCUGGCCAGUGAAAUAUAAAGUGACAGCUUCUGGGAAGUGAUUGCUUUCCUGAUUUCAAUACCACCCCUUCCUCCCUGCCCACUGUUCCUUCUUCCUCCCUGGACAAAUGGUUUAGGGGACCGGCUGCCAUCUUGUAACAAAGCAGACAAAAGCUACACGCAAAGGAUGGCAGAGCAGAAAGAAGACCUUGAUGGUAUCACUGACAGUCUGGAGAGUCUACUUCUAGAUUUUUCUGUCAUGAUUGAAUAAACUGCCAUAUUUUCUGUCACCAGUAGGGGUUUUGUUACCAAUAUGUUCAUAACUGAUUCAGCAGGUAUUGAUUUUAGUCCACAACAGUAGAGUGAGAUAAAAGCACAUUUCCCUUUUUGUUCUCAAUCAAAUUUAAUCUUCCUGACUGUCCACAUAUUUGGUUGGUGGGACAUUCAUCCUCUGUCAUUCCUGUGCUUUUCUGUCUUCUCAAGAUUUCUAGAUUUGGGGGUGGGGGAGGUUGCUUAAAAACACAAUAAUGGAGAAAAUGCCAGAUAUUUGGUUCACAGUGGCUGCACUCACUCAACAUUUAUUUAUGAAUUUUCCAGGGGCAGUAUAAAGAAUGGGAAUACACAAUGAAAAUACCUUUAGCUCCAAGUGUGUGGUCAAGGCUUGUUCCUCUGGCUUUGGUUGGGCUGCAGACAAACUCAGACACGACCCACCAGGGCCAUCAGCUCCAUCAACUACAAACCUACCCCUGGAAUUCUAGGCCCCCGGGUUCCUAACCAGAGUCCCAGGUUCAGGCACCCUGUAGUCUCCCAUCUGGGUACCACUUGGUCUCUCCUACUGGUGGAAACCUGCAAAAUCCCAUCCCUACUCUUGGUCUUAGGACUCUUAACUUUCCCUGGGGUCCAGGAGCGCCUGCUUUAUCUACUUUGAACAGUCCCUGCAACUCCUCCCUUUACGAAGGGAUCUGUCUUACUUUUCAAGAUCACAGCCAGUACUUUUAUUCUAUCUCAGUUAUACAGAUGAGAAAACUGAGGCACAGAGACCAAGGGUAAAGUCACCCAGCUAGUAAGUAGCAGAGACAGGAUUUGGGUGCAGAUGUCUUGGCUCCAGACCCAGUUGCUAACCACUGUAUUGUGCUACUCUCUUCCUGCAACACAAAAGCUCCUUACUUUCUGCUUGGGUAUGGGUAAACACAUCGCAACUUAUAAAAAUACAGUGCUGACCUUUUUCUGGGUGAGACGUGGGAAGGGGUGUUAACUCCCAGUUGGUACUUUCCUUGAUAACUCACUCUGUUUUGUAUCCAAUUAAGAAAAAUACGUUGCUUUUAAACAAUGCACUAACUUAAGCUUCCUAUGUCUCAGUUUUCUCAUAUUAAAUUGGGAAUAGACAUUUCUAUGAUGACUUUUCCUCUGUAUUUUACCUCAUCAAGAUUCAGUGAUAGGAAAAAUAGGGUAUUAACUAAGAAGGUUUUUGAAAUCUUCAGGUAAAAAAAAUGUGGUAUUUUAACAAGAAAAUUGAUACAACAGCAGAUACUACAACUGGUAAAAUGAAUUUUAACUUUGGUGUCCCUAGAUGCUCCCUAUUCAGUUCUUAGUAAAUAUAUUUCAAUCUAGAAGAAAAUUGGGACCCUGCCAACUAGUAUUAAUGCUUGCUUGCCUAUUAAUUGAAGCACACUUUUGGAAAAUGUUGUAUGUAUCUGGGGAAAUAUAAUGCAUUCAGCAUAAGAAUAAAUCUUUUUUUUGAGAGAGCUAGACCUAGAGAUUUUCCUCACUUUUCAGUCAUGCCACAAUCUUUCUGGUUUAUCAGCAACUUUUUCUCUGCUAAGCAGUGAUGGUAAUGCAUACAUUUGCCUUUUUCAGUAAAUCAUCCUUUUAUAAUUUGGCUUUCUUUCAAUCUUAGAUUCCCAUCAGAAGGGUUUUACCUCAAGGCAUAUUGCAACCAAUUUCCCCCAUAAUUAAUGCCAUAUCUGCCUCAGAGUCCAUUUCAAUUCCCAAAUGAAAAUUGAUGAGGCAGCCAACCACAAAUAAGGAUCACAUAGCACUGAUUAAACUAUCAGACUAGUUUCCAGGCUAUCAUGUUACAGUGCUGAAUCAUAAGCAGAGGGUGAGUUUUCUGGUCUUUUGCAAUGUAUAUUGCUCAUAGUAAGUGUCCAUAAAUGGCUCUUAGCAGAUGAAGAGAAGCAUUUUAUAUGGCCCCUAUCAAAUUCUACCAGAAAGACUAAUGAUUAAAGAGGUUUGUGUUACAGGAACCAAGACUUCAUAGCACAUGAAAGAAAAUUGUAUCUAGACUUGAUAAAAAUGAGCCACAAACUGCUACAAAAAUCACCAGGACAAGAAAAACUCACUUAGGUGUUUUUAUCCCAUCCACAUGGAGUGUGAAUGGUUAAGUCAGGUGCUGUGUGAAGAAUGGAAACAUGCAACAAUAAAGACACCAGUCCUGGUGGACCUGAUGGCCUAUGUCUGGUGUGGCGGGGGACAGAUAAGUAAACAGAUCGUCCUAUACGGGGUAGCCAACGCUAUCAUCUGAUAGAAGUAAGCAUGAGGUACCAGUCAAGUAUGCAAGUAUCUGUGCAUGAGAUGCUAGUCAAGUAUUUGUGUGUGCAUGUUUGAAGGCUUCCUGGAAGAGAUCACUGAAACUCUAAGAGUAGGUAGCCAGGUUAAGAAUGGGGGCAGAGCAGGAUAUCUGAGGCAGUGGAAGCAAUUUGAGCAAUGUGUGGAGUGGAGAGAGAACCUGACUUGUUUGAUAAGCUUGGAAGGUUAAGCAUAGCUAGAACAGGGUAUUGGAAGAGUUUUAUAGAGGAAAAGAUGACUAGAGGUAGGCUGCCAGAUGUUCUCUCCCAAAAUAUUUGACCAUCAGUGUAGCAGGGCAGAUAUUAGUGUGAUUAUGAAAACAUAUAUGUGUGUGUGUAUAUACAUAUGUAUGUAUAUUUAAAUGCAUUACAUAUUUCAAUCAGUGAUAUGUGUUUUUCUAGGUAUCUUUUUGGCAUAUUUUUAAGAAACACAUUUCGAAAAUUAAAUGUAGGUGUGAACCCUUCGCCACACCCAAAGAACCAUUCUUGACACUCAUGCAGAACAUUUUAUGCCCCAGUUUGAAUAUCUGACUUUGGUUUAUCUCACUGAUACCUGUAGCCCCUCCAAAGUAGUGGUAGACAGAGCUGAGACAAGAAAUUUCACAGCUUUUUCCUAUUGUGGAACAAACAAUCUGAGUUUAAAACAUAUUGACUUACUGAAUUAAAGUAAGUCACUCCACCUCUUAAAGACUCAGUCACACAUCCAAUUUUCCAGGGGCCUGUGGCCACUGAGUGUCACAGAGUGUGGAAGGCUGUAGGGGCCAGUCCAGAGGAGAGACCACAUGGCCUGAUUGCCCAGUAGAAAUUGAUAUUCACAAAAGAAUGCUGGCUCAAAAAAAUAAAUUGAAAAAAAAAAAAAAACCCCAGCAACACAGUGAACAGGUGGCUUAGUAUGGCUGGCCGUGCUUGCACUUUUUAAUGACCUGAUUUGUUUCCAAAAUUUGUUUUAGGUAAUGUAUUAGUCUGUUCUCAUGCUGCUGUAAAGAACUACCCAAGACUGGGUAAUUUAUAAAGAAAAGAGGUUUGAUUGACUCACAGUUCCACAGGCUGUACAGGAGGCAUGGCUUGGGAAGCCUCGAGAAAUUUACAAUCAUGGCGGAAGGCAAAGGGGAAGCCAGCAUGUCUCACAUGGCAGGAGCAGGAGGAAUAGAGAGCAGGAGGAGGUGCUACACAUUUCAAAAAGCCAGAUCUCAUGAGAACUCACUCACUAUCAUGAGAACAGCAAGGGGGAAGUCCGCCCCCAUGAUCCAGUCACCUCCCACCAGACCCCUCCUCCAACACUGGGAUUACAAUUUGACAUGUGAUUUGGGUGGGGACACAGGGUCAAACCAUAUCAGGUAACAAAACUCCAGUCUCAAAAAUGGUAAGUCAAUUUUAUUGCUAUUAUAAUUCUUAAAACUGGUGUUGAUGAUGAUGAUGAUAGCAGUUAUUUGUACAGUAACAUGCCCAAGACAAAUCCCAAGAGAGGAACAUAAACAAAAUCAAGUGGGGAGAUUUGACUUUGCCCAAGUUCUUCUCAACUAGAAAUUUCUAAAGGUGUUUUGUGUGGAGUGCUGCGCUAUGUGCAGUUUUCAGCUAUUCAACCUCAAGGAUGUCAAAUUGUUGGAAGAGAUUCAAAGAAGGAUAAUCAAACUUGGAUGGAGCUGACUUAAAGAAAUGGGCUAACCUCCAGAAAGAAUGCCAUUGAAUCCAGAGAGAGGUGCCGUUGAAUCAGCCCUUGCUGAUGAAGCCUCUUCACUGUACUGCUCAGACCUCUCCAUCCUGGUGGCAAGGGCUUAGACCAUUAUUCAUGGUCUGACUGGCCUCGAGGUGGCUGUCUCGCCUUUGAAAAAGGGCAGACACAGAGCAUGUUCAGAGCACGGAGCCAUACUGUGCGAUUUCUUCAAAGAGAGCUUAACCACAGAAUUUGGAUUAAUGAAUGACGUAACUGCUUCAGGGCAACACACCCUCACUGCAGCUGCUUAGCCCAGGAAGCAGCAAGGUCAAUACAAGGAGAGCCACAGGCCUGGGGAGAUGCAUGCCUUCCUUCCUGGCCACGUGGAUCUCACUACUUAGCCCAGAUGGCCUGCGAGAAGGACAAAGCCAAGCACUUCACAACACUGUCAGUUGCUGUCCUGAAGAAGGUGGCCAGGAGCUCUAGAAGGAUUCAAAGCCCCAGGGAUUUUUGGUUUUUAUGUAUACACUUCUCUUUACAUACUUGUUCCUCAACAUCCAAUCAGCCUUGCAGGUUUGUCCCCGCUCCUAGCAUUCAGAAACACUCAAGAGCAGGGUGGGUCAGAGCUCUCCACCACAUACGCAGCAGAGUGAAAGAAGCUGCCCUGCAGGACAGCUCCAGGCUCAUGGCCACCCCUCCUCACAUGCAUACCUCCUCCUCUUCCACCAAACAACAACAAACUCCUUCAUGUAGCAUUCACGCCCUCCUCUUGUGGCCUCUACCUGCCAUCCCACACCAAUCCCUUUUUAUGUCCCCACAGGUACCCAGGAGUCUCCCCUAACUAAAUUCCCCACUGCUUCUCCAAAUCACCCCAAUCCUACUUCCCACUGAAACUAACAAGAAGGGAAGGAAGGUGUUAACAAAUGAAGUCUUCGAAGGAAGUCACCCCAAGAAUCUGGGCCUACUAGUCAUUCCCUAAGGCUCAGCUCUUGGCAUUUGCUUCGUUCCCUGGGCCAUUAUUUUCAUACUGUGAAGAAAUUUCACCCUAGUCCCAUUUUGGAGAGCAAGUGUUGGUACAGUGCUGGGUAAAGACCCUGACACCAGGUCCUGGUCCCUGGCCCAGAGCAGGGGAUAUGAAGGGAAGCCCCACUCACUGUGUGCUCCCUCACUGACUCCUCAAAGGAAUUCCAGGAAGGGUGCUUUAGUGACCCUUUGGCUCACAGAGUUAGAGUGACCUGCCCAAGGCCACCCAGAGAAUGAAUGGUGGGACUGAGAUCACACCUGGGCCUGCCUGGCUGCCAAGCCUUUUGCUAUUUUCAUUAUUCCACAUUUCUUUCCAAGGAUACAGAAAGCAGGGAUAGGAAGUGCUGUGGAAACAAGCAAAAAGCCUUAUCCAUAGUCAGCAUCCAAAAAGUACUAUACCUUCUCUGACCCCUGCUUUAUUUAUUUGUUUAUUUUCAGGGAUGAUGUAAUAGCCAGAAAAAUAAGUGAACAGAAGAUUCCGGGUUCUACUUUAUGCCAAUUUUUCUUAAAUAUCUCAGUCACUAGAAAAAGAUCUAUUUGAAAAUCUUGCUCUGAGCAGUUUCUGUCUUGGGCCCAGUUGUUUGAGGAGCCUGUUGAAUUUUUAAAUUUAUUAGUGUUCCCAUGCUUCAUUCAUUGGCAUAUAUGUAUAUUCUCUAUACUUUAUAAUUACAAGUAAGCUCUUGAUAAUAAAAAGUAACUGUCAUUCUGUGAAGCUCUUUAAUGCAGCCAAAGAUAAUUUCAGGGGGCAAUUGGCAGUCUAAGUCCUUGCUUUCUCUCAUUUUAAAGGAGAACCAAAUCAACUUAGAGUGAAUUUGUUCAAAUGUGGGUAAGAUUUAACAGGCACUUCAGCUGCCCAGGGUACUUUUCCAUGUCUCUCCAACCAACCCCACCCAAAUAGCUUAGGAUUGGCAUUUUCUGAUGAGCACAGGGAUAGAGAAUGAGAACGGAGUCAGGUCCUCAGGUAUUCAAGGUUAGAAUUCCUUCUUAACCUUGCCCACUAUGCCCUAUGUGGGGACAUGCUACAGCAGAGAUCACUUGAGAAUUAUCCUGUGGCUCACACUGCCAUAAUUAGUUAUCUGUUCGGCACCUCUCAACUAAUCAGAACAAUGGCACAUCCAAAAGUAAAAGGAGAAGAAAGGAGACAAGAAUACAGCGACUGAAUAAUAAAA